CCAACAGGGAUUGCCUCAGUAACGGCGAGUGAAGCGGCAAAAGCUCAAAUUUGAAAUCUAGCACCUUCGGUGUUCGAGUUGUAAUUUGAAGAUGGUAACCUUGGGUUUGGCUCUUGUCUAGUUCCUUGGAACAGGACGUCAUAGAGGGUGAGAAUCCCGUCUGAUGAGAUGCCCAUUCCAUGUAAGGUGCUAUCGAAGAGUCGAGUUGUUUGGGAAUGCAGCUCUAAGUGGGUGGUAAAUUCCAUCUAAAGCUAAAUAUUGGCGAGAGACCGAUAGCGAACAAGUACAGUGAUGGAAAGAUGAAAAGAACUUUGAAAAGAGAGUGAAAAAGUACGUGAAAUUGUUGAAAGGGAAGGGCAUUAGAUCAGACUUGGUGUUUUACGAUUAUCUUCUCUUCUUGAGUUGUGCACUCGUAUUUCACUGGGCCAGCAUCGAUUCGGAUGGCAAGAUAAUGGCAGUUGAAUGUGGCUUCACUUCGGUGGAGUGUUAUAGCUUCUGCUGAUAUUGCCUGUCUGGAUCGAGGGCUGCGUCUUUUGACUAGGAUGCUGGCGUAAUGAUCUAAUGCCGCCCGUCUUGAAACACGGACCUCCUGUGUGAUGGAACCCCCUUAACA
rnacentral:rRNA from 1 species